rnacentral:misc_RNA from 1 species
AAGAGGACGUUGCCCUUCGGGGUAUACCUCCCACCCUUUGUUUAUUAUACCUUUGUUGCUUUGGCGGGGCCCGUCCUCGGACCACCGGCUUCUGCUGGUCAGUGCCCGCCAGAGGACCUAAAACUCUGUUUGUUAAUAUUGUCUGAGUACUAUAUAAUAGUUUA